AUAUUUAAUUUAGGUGAUGUGACCUUGCGCAAUGCUCGAAACAAAGUGUUACAUUCUCCAUUAAGCAACCUCUGUUGUAGAAGCUAUCUGACUACAUCAGUCACGUUACAAAAGAUGAGAAAAUUCAGCCAGGGGACAUAAAAUUCGACUGGAAGACAGCAGGACGGAGGCGGCGAGAGGCGCUGCCGCGGCCCUAAGAUGGCGGCGCCGCGAGGGGGGAGCGGGCUGGACAGGGACGGCUGUUGUUAAAGCUUUGUUGUUAAAGCUUUACUGUUCCCGCUGCCGCCCCUGCCCGCCGUGUCCGCCGCGCCGUGCAUAGUAAAGCCACCAAAGGCAGUGCUAUGCAGAAGGACAGCUGGGGUCCUGCCUGCCUGUGAACAGCUCAAAAGCUGAGCUCCAGAGGAGUUGGUGCCUUCAAGAAGUGAGAUGUCAGCUCAGCCUGCACCCAGCAUCUGCUUAUGAUGUGAUUUGGUACAAGGUGUUCAUGCCCUGCUUCCUAUUGCGGCAUGUGUCCGACCGCCAGUGAUCUCUCUGACCCGGCUGGCAGCAGAGUGGCUGGAGACGGGCUGCAACGCGUGCUGGAGGAUGCAGGCACCCAACGUGGGGCACUGGAGAGCACCAGCCCCCCAGCAAACGUGGGGUACUGAGGACAGCUCAGAGAGAUGACCAGUGUGAGGCCCUAGAACACCGCGGGCUUUGGUACUCGGGAGCGAGGUUUUGUGAGGAUCAGCAGAGAAGAGAGGGGAUGUAAGCUUUCAAUUUUAAGUCUUGCUUUCAUUUAAAAGCUGCCAAAGAAGACCCUAAAACCAUUACAUCAACAUUUUAAGAUAAAAAUAAUCAAUCCCCACUCCCCUCUAGAAUUUUUCUUAAAUUUAAUUGAUUUCUUUUGAGAUGCAUUUAUUGUGUUGUUGUUUUGUUACGUGGUCGUGAUGCUGAGAGAUUAUUUUUCAUUUCAAUAAGGUAAUAAUUUAAAUUUUAGUUUUGAUUGUGCAAUAUUUAACAGACUUCCUUUCCUGGUUUUUGCAUUAUGCCCCCCAUGUCCCUGAACCCACUGACCCUGAGAACAGAAUGGGAGAUGGAAUCUGCCAUCUCCCCUCCUUUUUUGUGGCCAUGCUGUCCUGGGUAGGGGACAGAAAAGGAGGGGAGAUUGGCCAUUCUACCCUAACCACUUUCCGUCAGCCCUCAACCCUACCCCCACUUUCCUACUAUAUUUAAUUGGCAGUUCCUGAUUUUCGUUAUAAUUCAUGUUGCAGAGAUUGCUAUUAUUUCCUGUUUAGUUAUGUGGGUGACCCUCGGAGUUAGGCCAGUUGACGCAUUUGUUUAUUUAUUUAACUUUGCAGCAUGAACCCACCUGUUUAGUGGGUUCACCUGUUAAACUUUAUUUACAGUAUUCUAUGUAUUUUUGUUCUCAAUUUAGUUAAAUUGAUUAUAAAGUCCAUUAAGUAGAGUGUCAUUUUAGUUCAAAUACGACUGUUAUACUUUUCAUUUUAAAUGAAAGAAGAGGGGGGAGUUGUGCAAGUUUGUCCUGGAAGGGACGGGCUAGGGACUGGCCACACAGCCACAACCCAACAUCAGGCCUCAAGAAGGAAGAAACCACAACUGAUGACAUCCAAGCAGCUUAUGGUGAGGAGAAAAGGACUUGCAAAGGACUCUGGGACCAGUUGGGAGUGGCCAUGCAGAUCAGCAGCCCAUGACUGGCCAGAAGGCUUCUAGAACAUUCUGAGAGACUACAUUCUAUGAGAGACUAUACAUAUGCAUGUUGGCCUCACUUCGAUGUCUUCUGAAGCAGCCCCUUUAUGUUUUGUUUUGCACCCAUGUUUACGCCCUUUUAUUUAUUUAAUAAAUAUCUUCAGUUUUGGCA